CCAUGCCCCAGGACUACCUGACAUGAUGACUCCUUGCUGUCCCCAGUCCACCUGACCGUGCUGCUGCUCCAGUUUCAACUGUUCUGCCUUAUUAUUAUUCGACCAUGCUGGUCAUUUAUGAACAUUUGAACAUCUUGGCCAUGUUCUGUUAUAAUCUCCACCCGGCACAGCCAGAAGAGGACUGGCCACCCCACAUAGCCUGGUUCCUCUCUAGGUUUCUUCCUAGGUUUUGGCCUUUCUAGGAAGUUUUUCCUAGUCACCGUGCUUCUACACCUGCAUUGCUUGCUGUUUGGGGUUUUAGGCUUUGUUUCUGUACAGCACUUUGAGAUAUCAGCUGAUGUACGAAGGGCUAUAUAAAUACAUUUUUAUUUGAUUUGAUGUAUCUGCAUGGUGUCCUCAAAAUAAGGAAUAAACUUCAUAUACUUGAAAAUGAUUUCCCUCCAGCCUGUUCUCAUUAACCAAACCUGCCCAGAUGCAGGGUUGGAGGUACAGUCAUGCAAGUACAGUGUUUUUACACUAUACAGCAAUACCUUAAUCUGACACUCUAAAUUUCUCUCUUCUGUAUGGUAUGGCAAUGCAGUUGAAUAAUGUCUCUAUUGUAUUGACACUGUGUUUUGAAGGCCACUUUCUGUGUGGGAACAACCUCUGUGAGAAGGAGGAGGACCUGAAGAGCUGGGAGGUGAACUUUGCCCAUGUGGAGCAGGGAGAGAAGAGAAACACACGGGUCAAACUCAGAGAAAGGAGGUGAUCGCCAAGAAAAGAAGACAAGUCGUCUGAGGAAAAUCAAGUUGAGCCACAGGCAAAAAGAUCCAAGAAAGCAGAGACAAACAUCAGAGGAGACACAAAGGCAAGACUCCACCAUUUCAUAUCUUUGUACAACUAUGGCUAUAGGUAGACGCAAACAACAGGCCAUGGGGAUGAAAUGAAAAGUGCUGAAGGUGUUUGUACUAAUGUCUUAAUGGUGUAAUACAACAUUUAGAAACAUGAGCAUUUGAAAAAUCAAGCCCGCUCAUAAACUUCUUAUAAACACCUACUAUAGUGUUUAGAUAUGACAUAAUAUCUGACUGAAAGCAGCCGUUUCACAUGGAGGAGGAAAAAAAUCACAACACUUUGGUUGCUUUUUGUUGUUGCUCAAUGUCAGCUGCACAUAGUUGGCUGUCUGAGUUGAACUGACUGAGUUCCCCCUCUCUCUCCCCCCAGCAGGCCCCUCCUAACGCUCCUCCCCCGGGAACUCUGAGGACGACUCCCAGCAGUCAGACAAAGGUAGUGUUUAUUCUCACUCUCCACCUCCCUACAAAGUCAAGCGGUUUAUUACCUUACACCCUCAGGACAAGCAGAACGGACGUGCCCUAAUGUCCUCAUUCAUAACAGGUGCACAUGGGCUAGUUUGGUCAUAAGGCCUCAGUCAGACAACAGUCAUACUUUCAUUGCGGAUUCAGCUGCACUUGAAGUAUGGGCCUGCUUACCCUGGGUUUCCGAUGUAACGUAAAUAAAAGCAGCCGCUGCACACGAAGGCCAAGUUCCAAGGCCAAGGUGCAGACCAAGGACCACACUCUUACGGCUGAAGCUGCAGGACUGAAGGUAACCGACCCGUCCCGUCCCCUGGACCUUAGCUGCCUGAAGUAGGGGUGCUGAGGGUUCUGCAGCACCCCCUGAUAAAUCACAAUUAAAACAUUUCAGCACCCCCACCUCAAAACAUCUUCCCCGGCGCCAUGCCCUGGAUGCCUCUUCCCAGAGCUAAAGAACCGAAUCAUGUUCUACGCAUGUUUCUUCAGCACUGCUUUGUACACACAUUCUCACUUUACUCACUGUCAAUCGUGAAUGAGAAUUCUUCAAGUUUUACCGGGGAAACAUCCAUGCAGCAUCUGCAUGCCAACCAUUUGACCUCAUUCAUUUUCAUGGGAAUAUGCAUUUAGAUCUAAUUGAGUUGUGUAUGCUACGUUGUUGUUUUGCAUUACAGUUGAAGUUGGAAGUUUACAUACACUUAGGUUGGAGUCAUUAAAACUCAUUUUUCAACCACUCCACAAAUUUCUUGUUAACAAACUAUGGUUUUGGCAAGUCGGUUAGGAUAUCUACUUGGUGCAUGACACAAUGAAUUUUUCCAACAAUUGUUUGCAGACAGAUUAUUUCACUUAUAACUCACUAUAUCACAAUUCCAGUGGGUCAGAAGUUUAGAUACACUAAGUUCACUGUGCCUUUAAACAGCUUGGAAAAUUCCAGACAAUUAUUUCAUGGCUUUAGAAGCUUCUGAUAGGCUAAUUGACAUCAUUUGAGUCAAUUGGAGGUGUACCUGUGCAUGUAUUUCAAGGCCUACCUUCAAACU
rnacentral:lncRNA from 13 species